UACGGGGGGAGCAAGCGUUGUUCGGAUUUACUGGGCGUAAAGGGCGCGUAGGCGGCCACCUCAAGCCGACUGGGAAAUCUCCGGGCUUAACCCGGAAAGGUCAGCCGAUACUGCGGGGCUAGAGUGCAGAAGGGGCAACUGGAAUUCUCGGUGUAGCGGUGAAAUGCGUAGAUAUCGAGAGGAACACCUGCGGCGAAGGCGGGUUGCUGGGCUGACACUGACGCUGAUGCGCGAAAGCUAGGGGAGCGAACGGG
rnacentral:rRNA from 1 species